rnacentral:lncRNA from 9 species
UGCACCCGAGGCAUAUGGAAACUCCCAGGCUAGGGGUCACAUCAGAGCCUGCAGUUGCCGACCACAGCCAUGAGGGACCUUAACCCACUGAGCGAGGCCAGGGAUCGAACCUGCAUCCUCAUGGAUACUAGUCAGGUUCUUAACCUGCUGAGCCACAACGGGAACUCCAUGGAGGGUUCUUUCUGAUGUAAACUUCUCAUUCUCAAAAGUUUUGCCCCAUUGGGUGUUAACUCCCCUCCACGUCCAUGCUGUAUAUGUUCCCAGGGAGUCCCACAGUAUCUCAUGCCUCAGUAGCAACAGGGAAAAAAAGGAAAGGCAGCAUCAGGUCAAAGACACAGUCGGUUGUGCCCUUCUGAGGAUGACCAGAGCCCACACAGAGCUCACUCCUGCUGCCGAGGUUGCAGCGACACAAGCGGGCCAAGGUCCUAAGACAGGGGAGGCCAAGUGGCUGGAAAGUGGCUCCUGAAAGGUGCCUGAUACCAAUCCAACCAGCAGGGGUCCAGGGCUUGGGCUCGGUGGUGGUGAGCCAGAGCCAGAUCACGUAGAGGCUUGUUAAUCCCUCAUCUCGAUGCUUCUGCCAGCAGAGUCCCCCAUUGCUUUGGCUGUUUUGUUUUUGCUUGUUUUGCUUUUGAUUUUUAUGGCCACAUGUGCGGCAUAUGGAGGUUCCCAGGCUAGGGGCUGAAGUGGAGCUGUACCUGCGAGACCACACCACAGCCACAGCAAUGCCGCAUCCAAGCUGCGACUGCGACCUACACCACCCCUCACAGCAACACCAGAUCCUUAACCCACUGAGCGAGGCCAGGGGUCCAACCUGCACCUUCAAGCGCUGAGCCACAACAGGAACUCCUUUUUUUUGGUCUUACCUCAUGGGGAGAUUGUGAUCAUUUCACAUUAAUGAUGAUCAUGAUCAGCAUAAGGCCCAUCGGUUUCCUUUUUGAACUUAAACGUGGCACUCGCUUCUCUCUGUUAAGUUGCAUCCUGUUGAUAGCGGCCCCAUUAUUUCAGCUGGAAGCGUCCUUACCUGGUAAGAUAUUAUGGACGAUAUUGAAGUCUCAGGCCCAGGGGACAGCAAACAAAAAGACGAGAUGCGUUCUUGCCUAAUGAUGCACGACGAAGAAGGUUCGUUCCUUUCACUGAAGGCGUUGAUAGUUCUUUCAAAGCAAACAUCUCUGGUAUGAAUAAAACUGUCAGGUCUCCUUAGCUAUUUACACUUCAGUGUAACUGCAUGCAUAAGCUGCUCCCCCGAGGAAUCUUGGAGAGCAAGGCCUUGGAGGCCUCAGCUGGAGGUCCCAGGUUGAAUAAAGACAAAAGUGGGAGCAUGCAUGGGUGUUGGGGGACCUGGGGAUGCAAGGCUGGGGGUUAGGUGGCACGAGUGAAAGUACCAUAUUAGACUCUCUCCCGUUUUAGACUAACUCAUGGCCAAGUACCCAGUGGCUGACACAUGAGGGCGCUCAAUAAAUAGUCCAUGAAUGAUUCUGGCGCUACGUCCCGGCCAGCAGGCUCUGUUAAGAGGUGUGGACGUGCUCUGCAGAAAACUGUUAGUUCCUGCCGCCCACGCGUGAGGAAGGCGCGUCAGCGAAUGGAAGCAAGUUCUGAGCGGCAGGAGACCACGGCGGCUCCCUCGGCUGGCCCUAGGGAGACGGUAACUCAGGAAGAUGCGGGCACCCAGUCCCCCGCAUAGACGAUCAGGGUCAGGAUUUGGCUGAGGAGGAGCCGUUGGGCCUUUGGAACAGGUCCCAGGGCCGGUGCGGAGGCCGAAGUCGCGGUGUAGACCGGAGGCAGCGGGAGGGCAGGAAGGUGGACUCUGACCAGCGCCCCAUUAUCAAGCGCCGCGAAGUCGGCAGGGCGCACUCUUCAGUCCGCCCGACUGGGACGCUGCGUGCGCCGGGUCUGCGGAGCGCGCCCUUCAGGUCACUUGGAGCGCAGUGGACGCUGCAGAACUUUCUCCUGGAGAUUGCGCGCGCAGCUCCGGGACCCCUGUGGAUCUCUGCAAACUUUGCCCAGGACGCGUCCGGUGCGCGCGACCAGCUUUGCCUGCCGAGGGCGCCCUCCGCGACGACGCGCG